rnacentral:rRNA from 1 species
CAAUGUAAGUACAGGUGCAAUGGUCUUUUUUCUUGAUGGUGAAGAAUUUGUUUUUUACGCGCAAAUUCGUUUAUCAUUAAAAGUGGUGCGAUAGCGUACCAUGCUGUGCGCUUUUUUUUCCGGCGCCGCAGAUGGCAUUUGGCAAUAACAGGUCUGUGAUGCCCUUAGAUGUCCGGGGCCGCACGCGCGCUACAAUGACGGUGUCAACGAGUGGGACCUUCUGGCCCGAGAGGGUUGGGCAAACUGGUCAAUCACCGUCGUGACAGGGAUCGGGGCUUGGAAUUGUUCCCCGUGAACGAGGAAUUCCUAGUAAGUGCAGGUCAUAAGCUUGCGCUGAUUACGUCCCUG